rnacentral:rRNA from 1 species
UACGUAGGGGGCAAGCGUUGUCCGGAUUUAUUGGGCGUAAAGAGCGUGUAGGCGGCCUGAAAGGUCAGCUGUGAAAACUCGAGGCUCAACCUCGAGACGUCGGUUGAAACCAUCUGGCUAGAGUCCGGAAGAGGAGUGUGGAAUUCCCGGUGUAGCGGUGAAAUGCGCAGAUAUCGGGAGGAACACCUGUGGCGAAGGCGGCCCCCUGGGCCGGCCCUGACACUGAGACGCGAAGGCGUGGGGAGCGAACGGG